CUACGGGCGGCUGCAGUGAGGAAUAUUGCACAAUGGAGGAAACUCUGAUGCAGCAACGCCGCGUGGAGGAUGACGCAUUUCGGUGUGUAAACUCCUUUUAUAUGUCAAGAAAAUGACGGUAGCAUAUGAAUAAGCACCGGCUAACUCCGUGCCAGCAGCCGCGGUAAUACGGAGGGUGCAAGCGUUACUCGGAAUCACUGGGCGUAAAGGACGCGUAGGCGGGAUAUCAAGUCAGGUGUGAAAUCCUACAGCUUAACUGUAGAACUGCACUUGAAACUGGUAACCUAGAGUAUGGGAGGGGGAGAUGGAAUUAGUGGUGUAGGGGUAAAAUCCGUAGAUAUCACUAGGAAUACCUAAAGCGAAGGCGAUCUCCUGGAACACAACUGACGCUAAGGCGUGAAAGCGUGGGGAGCAGACAGGAUUAGAUACCCCUGUAGUC
rnacentral:rRNA from 1 species